rnacentral:rRNA from 1 species
UACGAGGGGGGCAAGCGUUGUUCGGAUUUAUUGGGCGUAAAGGGUGCGUAGGCGGUUUGGCAAGUCUUAUGUGAAAUCUUCGGGCUCAACCCGAAGCCUGCAUAAGAAACUGCCGGGCUUGAGUAUGGGAGAGGUGAGUGGAACUGCGAGUGUAGAGGUGAAAUUCGUAGAUAUUCGCAAGAACACCAGUGGCGAAGGCGGCUCACUGGCCCGAUACUGACGCUGAGGCACGAAAGCGUGGGGAGCAAACAG